rnacentral:sRNA from 1 species
UGGCUGUCGUCAGCUCGUGUCGUGAGAUGUUGGGUUAAGUCCCGCAACGAGCGCAACCCUCAUCUUUAGUUGCCAUCAGUUCGGCUGGGCACUCUAGAGAAACUGCCUGGGAUGACCAGGAGGAAGGCGAGGAUGACGUCAAGUCCUCAUGGCCCUUAUGGGCUGGGCUACACACGUGCUACAAUGGCGGUGACAAAGGGACGCAAUAGGGCAACCUGGAGCAAAUCCCUAAAAACCGUCUCAGUUCGGAUUGUUCUCUGCAACUCGAGAGCAUGAAGUUGGAAUCGCUAGUAAUCGUAGAUCAGCAUGCUACGGUGAAUACGUUCCCGGGCCUUGUACACACCGCCCGUCACACCAUGGGAGUUGGUUUUACCCGAAGACGGUAUCCUAACCUUUUAGGAGGGAGCCGGCCACGGUAGGGUCAGCGACUGGGGUGAAGUCGUAACAAGGUAGCCGUAGGAGAACCUGCGGCUGGAUCACCUCCUUUCUAAGGACGACGAAGAUGCUUUAUGCUAUGUCUUCGUAUAGUCAAAGUCGAAUCAGUCUCUCUUCUCUUCUCUCCCUUUUCUCCUGUAAUUCUAGUUAUGCCUCUAGAGUAACGAAUAAUUAGAUACGUUGCUGUUGACGCAUAACUUCAAGUAGGGCCUGUAGCUCAGCUUGGUUAGAGCGCAUCCCUGAUAAGGAUGAGGCCGGUGGUUCAAGUCCACCCAGGCCCACCAGCUCAUUUUGGUUUUGUGAGUUAUGAUUCCCGCUGAUUACCUAAUUGUAAGUAGCCGGAGAUCGAACUGCAAAGCCGGAAUCAAGUUACGGGGGAUUAGCUCAGCUGGUAGAGCGCCUGCUUUGCAAGCAGGAGGUCAGCGGUUCGAACCCGCUAUCCUCCACCAUUAGCUGAUAGAGUAGGACUAGCUUAUUAUUUAAGGAUUUAUCAGGCAAAGCUCACGAGUUGAUUUUUGCUUUAUAAAUCUUUUUUUUCUUAGACAAUUGAAUCGGAGGUUUUGGUGAUCCAAUAACAGAUGUGAGGGUCUCCAAGGGUUGACGAUCUUGACUGUUAAAGUCAGGUAGUAAGGGCACAGGGCGGAUGCCUUGGCUCUGGGAAGCGAUGAAGGACGUGGCUAGCUGCGAUAAGCCUCGGGGAAGAGCAAACAUCUUUUGAUCCGGGGAUUUCCGAAUGGGGAAACCCGG